UACGAAGGGGGCUAGCGUUGUUCGGAAUUACUGGGCGUAAAGGGCGCGCAGGCGGCCGCUCAAGUCAGAUGUGAAAGCCCCGGGCUCAACUCGGGAACUGCGCUUGAUACUGUCGAGCUAGAGUGUGGAAGGGGCGAUUGGAAUUCCGUGUGUAGCGGUGAAAUGCGUAGAUAUACGGAGGAACACCAGAGGCGAAGGCGGAUCGCUGGGCCAACACUGACGCUGAGACGCGAAAGCUAGGGUAGCAAACGGG
rnacentral:rRNA from 1 species